rnacentral:RNase_P_RNA from 1 species
UAGUCGGGUAAUCGCGCUUAUUUAUAAGUGAGGAAAGUCCGUGCAUUCAAGAACAGGCUUCCGGAGAAACUCCGGACGGUGUGAACCGGUGGAUAGUGCCACAGAAAUGUAGACUGCCGAUGGGUUGCAAAAUCACAGGCGAUGGUGCAACGGUGAGUUAAGAGCUUCACCAGUAAUAUUGAGAAAUAUUAGCUAGGUAAACCCAAGCCGAAUGCAAGAUUGAAUUGGAGAUUAAGGUUGUUCGCCAACUCCUAAAAAAUCGCUAGAGAUUACGAGUAAUCGUAAUACCAGACAGAUGAUUGCCUAGAAACAGAACACGGCUUAUGAGCUACUU